rnacentral:tRNA from 1 species
GAGUAAAUAGCUCAAAGGUAGAGCAUCUGUCUUACAAACAGGGGGUUGUGGGUUCAAGUCCUACUUUACUC